rnacentral:rRNA from 1 species
UUGGAGGGCAAGUCUGGUGCCAGCAGCCGCGGUAAUUCCAGCUCCAAUAGCGUAUAUUAAAGUUGUUGCAGUUAAAAAGCUCGUAGUUGAAUUUCGGGAUCAGAGUGUCGGUCGUGCCUCGGUACGCACUGGUAUUAUUGGUUCCUACCUUCUGAAGAACCGCGAUGUCAUUAAUUUGGUGUCGUGGGGAAUCAGGACUGUUACUUUGAAAAAAUUAGAGUGUUUAAAGCAGGCCAACGCUUGAAUACAUUAGCAUGGAAUAAUGAAAUAGGACGUUCGAUCCUAUUUUGUUGGUUUCUAGGAUUGACGUAAUGAUUAAUAGGGAUAGUUGGGGGCAUUAGUAUUCAAUUGUCAGAGGUGAAAUUCUUGGAUUUAUUGAAGACUAACUACUGCGAAAGCAUUUGCCAAGGAUGUUUUCAUUAAUCAAGAACGAAAGUUAGGGGAUCGAAGACGAUCAGAUACCGUCGUAGUCUUAACCAUAAACUAUGCCGACUAGGGAUCGGAUGAUGUUAAUUUUUUAAUGACUCAUUCGGCGCCUUACGGGAAACCAAAGUGUUUGGGUUC